rnacentral:rRNA from 1 species
AGGAAAAGAAACCAACAGGGAUUGCCCCAGUAACGGCGAGUGAAGCGGCAACAGCUCAAAUUUGAAAUCUGGCCCCCCGGGCCCGAGUUGUAAUUUGGAGAGGAUGCUUCUGGCGCGGCGCCUUCCGAGUGCCUUGGAACAGGCCGCCAUAGAGGGUGAGAGCCCCGUACGGUUGGACGCCAAGCCGGUUCGAAGCUCCUUCGACGAGUCGAGUAGUUUGGGAAUGCUGCUCAAAAUGGGAGGUAAAUUUCUUCUAAAGCUAAAUACCGGCCAGAGACCGAUAGCGCACAAGUAGAGUGAUCGAAAGAUGAAAAGCACUUUGAAAAGAGGGUUAAACAGUACGUGAAAUUGUUGAAAGGGAAGCGCCCGGGGCCAGACUUGCACCCCGCGGACCACCCGGCGUUCCGCGCCGGUGCACUCCGCGGGGCGCAGGCCAGCAUCGGUUCUUCCAGGGGGAGAAAGGCCGCGGGAACGUAGCUCCUCCGGGAGUGUUAUAGCCCGCGGCGCCAUGCCCCUGGGGGGACCGAGGACCGCGCUUCGGCAAGGAUGCUGGCGUAAUGGCCCCCGGCGACCCGUCUUG